CAUGGAGAGGCUGACUUGGCCGGUGUGCUACAGAGAAGCCAGCUUGUUGACAUGCUCCUCCAUUG
rfam:Echinops telfairi cont1.292065, whole genome shotgun sequence.